GGGGCGCCGAGGGGACGGGGGGGCUCCCGGAGACGGGGCCCCUCUGGAACCUCCCGCACCGCCCGCGGAGGGCGCCGGCGGGCCGCCGCAAGGCGGGGGUAAAAACCAGCCGGCGCUGCGGCCCCCAAGCAGGGCCUGUGAGGCCGCGGCGAGGCCCGGGUAGGGGGCUAGAUCGAUACCCCGACAGAAGCGGGGGUAUGCGGCGCCCC
rnacentral:RNase_P_RNA from 2 species